UGGGGGAUAUUGCACAAUGGAGGAAACUCUGAUGCAGCAACGCCGCGUGAGGGAAGAAGGUCUUCGGAUUGUAAACCUCAGUAGUCAGGGACGAAAGAAAUGACGGUACCUGAAGAGUAAGCUCCGGCUAACUACGUGCUAGCAGCCGCGGUAAUACGUAGGGAGCGAGCGUUGUCCGGAUUUACUGGGUGUAAAGGGUGCGUAGGCGGGAUAGCAAGUCAGACGUGAAAUACCGAGGCUUAACUUCGGGGCUGCGUUUGAAACUGUUAUUCUUGAGUGAAGUAGAGGCAGGCGGAAUUCCUAGUGUAGCGGUGAAACGCGUAGAUAUUAGGAGGAACACCAGUGGCGAAGGCGGCCUGCUGGGCUUUAACUGACGCUGAGGCACGAAAGCAUGGGGAGCAAACA
rnacentral:rRNA from 1 species